CCUACGGGAGGCAGCAGUUGGGAAUUUUGCACAAUGGACGAAAGUCUGAUGCAGCAACGCCGCGUGCGGGAUGAAGAUUUUCGGAUUGUAAACCGCUUUUAUUUGGGAGUAACUGUUUGAACGUACCAAAUGAAUAAGCACCGGCUAACUCCGUGCCAGCAGCCGCGGUAAUACGGAGGGUGCAAACGUUGUCCGGAAUUACUGGGCGUAAAGCGCAUGUAGGUGGUCUAAUAAGUGAACGAUUAAAUACCGACGCUUAACGUCGGAAAGGUUAUUCAUACUGUUAGACUCGAGGAAGACAGGGGCAGAUGGAACUUUAAGUGUAGGAGUGAUAUCCGUAGAUAUUUAAAGGAACACCAAUGGCGAAGGCAGUCUGCUGGGUCUUUUCUGACACUGAGAUGCGAAAGUGUGGGGAGCAAACGGGAUUAGAUACCCCGGUAGUCCACACUGUAAACGAUGCUCACUAGGUCUUGGAGGGUAUCGACCCCCUUUUGGACCGAAGCUAACGCGUUAAGUGAGCCGCCUGGGGAGUACGAACGCAAGUUUAAAACUCAAAGGAAUUGACGGCUGAGANGCACGCGACACGAGGAGAG
rnacentral:rRNA from 1 species